AGAGUUUGAUCCUGGCUCAGAUUGAACGCUGGCGGCAUGGCUAAAACAUGCAAGUCGAACGCGAACGUACCUUCGGGUGCAAGUAGAGUGGCGAAAGGGCGAGGAAUACGUUUCUACGUACCCCAAGGUCGGGGAUAGCUCGGGGAAACCCGGGGUAAUACCUGAUGUGGUGCUUCGGCAUUAAAGGCUUGCCGCCUUGGGAGCGGGGAACGUCCUAUCAGGUUGUUGGUGAGGUAAAGGCUCACCAAGCCAAAGACGGGUAGCGGGUGUGAGAGCAUGACCCGCCGCAUCGGGACUGAGACACUGCCCGGACUCCUACGGGAGGCUGCAGUAACGAAUAUUCCGCAAUGCGCGAAAGCGUGACGGGGCAAUGCCGCGUGUGGGAUGAAGCCCUUCGGGGUGUAAACCACUGUCAGAAUUCAGGAACACAAUGACCAGAUUCAAAGGAAGGGCCGGCUAACUCUGUGCCAGCAGCCGCGGUAAUACAGAGGGCCCGAGCGUUAAUCGGAAUCACUGGGCUUAAAGAGUGCGUAGGCGGACAUGUAGGUAUUUUGUGAAAUCCCUCGGCUCAACCGGGGAAUUGCUUGGUAAACCACAUGUCUUGAGGCAGGUAGGGGUGGUCGGAACGCUAGGUGGAGCGGUGAAAUGCGUAGAUAUCUAGCGGAACGCCAAAGGAGAAGUCAGGCCACUGGGCCUGUCCUGACGCUGAGGCACGAAAGCGUGGGUAGCGAACGGGAUUAGAUACCCCGGUAGUCCACGCCGUAAACGAUGCGAACUAGAUCGAGGAGGUUUGACGCCCUCUUGGUCGAAGCAAAAGUGUUAAGUUCGCCGCCUGGGGAGUACGGUCGCAAGGCUAAAACUCAAAGGAAUUGACGGGGGCUCACACAAGCGGUGGAGCAUGUGGCUUAAUUCGAAGCAACGCGAAGAACCUUAUCCAGGGUUUGACAUGUAUGGAUUAACUCCUUGAAAGAGGAGCCACGCCUUCGGGUGGAACAUACACAGGUGCUGCAUGGCUGUCGUCAGCUCGUGCUGUGAAGUGUCGGGUUAAGUCCCUCAACGAGCGCAACCCUUGUCGCUAGUUGCUAACAGGUAAUGCUGAGGACUCUAGCGAGACUGCCGGUGUUAAACCGGAGGAAGGUGGGGAUGACGUCAAGUCCUCAUGGCCUUUAUGCCCUGGGCUGCACACGUGCUACAAUGGUAGGUACAGAACGAAGCAAGAUCGCAAGAUGGAGCAAAUCGCCAAAACCUGCCCCAGUUCGGAUUGGAGGCUGCAAUUCGCCUCCAUGAAGUUGGAAUCGCUAGUAAUCGCGGAUCAGCUACGCCGCGGUGAAUACGUUCCUGAGCCUUGUACACACCGCCCGUCAAGUCAUGGAAGCUGGCAGCGCCCGAAGUCGCCCUGAUUCAGGGGUGCCCACGGUGAGGCUGGUGACUGGGACUAAGUCGUAACAAGGUAGCCGUAGGGGAACCUGCGGCUG
rnacentral:rRNA from 1 species